ensembl:ncRNA B0496.12 ncRNA
AGUCAAAAGAAAUAAACGAUUGAAAUUUGAAAAUAUAAGAAAAGAAAGUGGGGGCUCUCGAUGAUAAUAAUGAUGUCAUGAGCAGUCAUCUGAUUUGUAGAGAAAGAGAUUUGGAACAACAAGUUUGAGGUUAAAGAGAUGGAAAUC